rnacentral:rRNA from 1 species
CAGUAGCCGCGGUAAUACGAAGGGGGCUAGCGUUGUUCGGAAUUACUGGGCGUAAAGCGCACGUAGGCGGACAUUUAAGUCAGGGGUGAAAUCCCGGGGCUCAACCCCGGAACUGCCUUUGAUACUGGGUGUCUUGAGUGUGGGAGAGGUCAGUGGAAUUGCGAGUGUAGAGGUGAAAUUCGUAGAUAUUCACAGGAACACCAGUGGCGAAGGCGGCUGACUGGUCCACAACUGACGCUGAGGUGCGAAAGCGUGGGGAGCAAACAGGAUUAGAUACCCCGGUAGUCCCUGUCUCUUAUAC